UCGAGUUUUAACGAUGUUUACCUCAUCUAUCGCGUUGGGGCGGUUUUCGAUUGCCGCUCCUGGAAAUAGAAUCAACAAAAAUUGCUUCCUCCACAAUUCAAUUGGAACGAUUCCUCCGAACCGGUUCGCUGUAUAUGAGGGGUGGCAAUUAAAAUUUCUGAAAUAGUAAACAGCAGUUGAUGUUAUCAAGUCUAAUCAUAUUGGCUGAAAUAAAAACUCCUCCUGGAAAAUUAGGAAAUUUACAUAGAAAAUGUAAGUAAUUGCCAAUAAAUCAAAUCAGCUAAUGAUAAUAA